rnacentral:rRNA from 1 species
UACGGAGGGUGCAAGCGUUAUCCGGAUUUACUGGGUUUAAAGGGUGCGUAGGUGGACUAGUAAGUCAGUGGUGAAAUCUCCGGGCUUAACCCGGAAACUGCCAUUGAUACUAUUGGUCUUGAAUACUUUGGAGGUAAGCGGAAUAUGUCAUGUAGCGGUGAAAUGCUUAGAUAUGAUAUAGAACACCAAUUGCGAAGGCAGGUUACUGAGCCACAACUGACGCUGAGGCACGAAAGCGUGGGGAUCAAACAGG